CUUGAACGCUGGCGGCAGGCCUAACACAUGCAAGUCGAGCGAGCGGCGGACGGGUGAGUAAUGUAUGGGGAUCUGCACGCGAGAGGGGGAUAACGAAUGGACACGGUGGAUACUACCGGAUACUACCGGAUGCACCCAUAGGGGAUGAGCGAGUAGGUGGGGUAAAUGCUCACCUAGGCGACGAUCUCUAGCUGGUCUGAGAGGAUGAUCAGCCACACUGGGACUGAGACACGGCCCAGACUCCUACGGGAGGCAGUAGUGGGGAAUAUUGCACAAUGGGCGCAAGCCUGAUGCAGCCAUGCCGCGUGUAUGAAGAAGGCCUUAGGGUUGUAAAGUACUUUCAGCGGGGAGGCGUUACCCGCAGAAGAAGCACCGGCUAACUCCGUGCCAGCAGCCGCGGUAAUAC
rnacentral:rRNA from 1 species